GUGGACACGCAUUAGCUUGCUAAAGUCAUUUUCCAUUGUAUCUGUCCUGGUUAUUCUAGAAUUAGAGCAAGGAAAAUGGAGCUUGUAAUUGCGAUUGCAAGUACAGUUGUUGGUGAAAUUGCUAAAAUCUUGGUGGCCCCUGUCGGCCGAUCAAUUGGUUACCUAAUUUACUACCAUUGUAACAUCAAGAAUCUGGAAGAGGAGCUUCAGAAACUGGUUGAUCAGAAGAUCACUGGGGUGGACUCACGCGUGGAUGACGUCAAAAGGAACUUGCAAGUUUUUGCUGGUUCUGUAAUUCAAUGGCAAGAGGAAGUGGAUUACAUUGAUCAGAGAGGCAAAGAAUUUCUUGAAAAUGUAAUCAAAGUAAACAACCAAUGUUUUAACGGGCGUUGUCCAGAUCCAACGUCACGUUAUUCCUUGAGCAGGAAAGUUAAGAAGAUGACACAGAAGGUGCUUGCUCUGCUCGAAGAAGCGGUGAAUUUUGGUCAAAUAGGCUAUCCUGGUCCUCCACCAAAUAUAGGAUCAACCUUCAUCACUGAAGGCAUCAGGGAUUUUGAAUCAAGGCUAUCAAUUAUGAAUGGAGUAUGGAAGGCUGUGAAGGAUGACAACUGGAGCAUGACCGGUGUUUGUGGGAUGGGUAGAGUGGAUGAGAAAGAUACAACGGCUAGUAGAUUAAACGGUGUGUAGUAGUCAGCUCUAAGUUAUUUACAGAGGAUACUUAAAAUGCUGCGUUCAGUAAAAGGAAAUUAAGAAAGCAAGCUCUCAAGUUCACAGUAAUGAACAAUGAAGAAAAUGGCGGGAGAGUUUAUUAUCAAAUGGUUACAGCUAUCACAGAUGCUUCAAGAAGUAGUUUCACAUAGAUAGCUGUACAUGUAUAGACCUUCU
rnacentral:misc_RNA from 1 species